UACAGAGGGUGCAAGCGUUAUCCGGAUUUACUGGGCGUAAAGCGCGCGCAGGCGGUCCUUCAAGUCAGAGGUGAAAGCCCAGAGCUCAACUCUGGAAUGGCCUUUGAGACUAGAGGACUUGGGUACGGGAGAGGUGAGUGGAAUUCCGAGUGUAGAGGUGAAAUUCGUAGAUAUUCGGAAGAACACCAGUGGCGAAGGCGGCUCACUGGCCCGUUACCGACGCUCAGGCGCGACAGCGUGGGGAGCAAACAGG
rnacentral:rRNA from 1 species